rnacentral:rRNA from 1 species
GUUGUAUAGUCAAGUAAUUAAGUGCAUGUGGUGGAUGCCUUGGCAGUCAGAGGCGAUGAAAGACGUGAUAGCCUGCGAAAAGCUCCGGGGAGGCGGCAAAUAUCCUUUGAUCCGGAGAUGUCUGAAUGGGGGAACCCACCUACUUUAAGGUAGGUAUUGCAACAUGAAUACAUAGUGUUGCAAGGCGAACGAGGGGAAGUGAAACAUCUCAGUACCCUUAGGAAAAGAAAUCAAUUGAGAUUCCCUCAGUAGCGGCGAGCGAACGGGGAUCAGCCCAUUAAGUUAUGUGUGUUUUAGUGGAACGCUCUGGGAAGUGCGAACGUAGAGGGUGAUAUUCCCGUACACGAAAGGGCACACAUAAUGAUGACGAGUAGGGCGAGGCACGUGAAACCUUGUCUGAAUAUGGGGGGACCAUCCUCCAAGGCUAAAUACUCCUGACUGACCGAUAGUGAACCAGUACCGUGAGGGAAAGGCGAAAAGAACCCCUGUGAGGGGAGUGAAAUAGAUCCUGAAACCGCAUGCAUACAAGCAGUGGGAGCACCUUCGUGGUGUGACUGCGUACCUUUUGUAUAAUGGGUCAGCGACUUAUAUUCAGUAGCGAGGUUAACCGUAUAGGGGAGCCGUAGAGAAAUCGAGUCUUAAUAGGGCGUUUAGUUGCUGGGUAUAGACCCGAAACCAGGCGAUCUAUCCAUGAGCAGGUUGAAGGUUGGGUAACACUAACUGGAGGACCGAACCCACUGUCGUUGAAAAGCCAGGGGAUGACUUGUGGAUAGGGGUGAAAGGCUAAUCAAGCCUGGUGAUAGCUGGUUCUCCCCGAAAGCUAUUUAGGUAGCGCCUCGGACGAAUACCAUAGGGGGUAGAGCACUGUUUCGGCUAGGGGGUCAUCCCGACUUACCAAACCGAUGCAAACUCCGAAUACCUAUGAGUACUAUCCGGGAGACAGACUGCGGGUGCUAACGUCCGUAGUCAAGAGGAAAACAAUCCAGACCGCCAGCUAAGGCCCCAAAAUCAUAGUUAAGUGGGAAACGAUGUGGGAAGGCAUAGACAGCUAGGAGGUUGGCUUAGAAGCAGCCACCCUUUAAAGAAAGCGUAAUAGCUCACUAGUCGAGUCGGCCUGCGCGGAAGAUGUAACGGGGCUAAAACUAUGUGCCGAAGCUGCGGAUNNNNNNNNNNNNNNNNNNNNNNNNNNNNNNNNNNNNNNUGCUGGAGGUAUCAGAAGUGCGAAUGCUGACGUGAGUAACGACAAAACGGGUGAAAAACCCGUUCGCCGAAAGACCAAGGGUUCCAGUCCAACGUUAAUCGGGGCUGGGUGAGUCGACCCCUAAGGCGAGGCCGAAAGGCGUAGUCGAUGGGAAAAUGGUUAAUAUUCCAUUACUUCUGUGUAAUGCGAUGAGAGGACGGAGAAGGCUAAAUCAGCCUGGCGUUGGUUGUCCAGGUGAAAGGAUGUAGGCAUGUAUCUUAGGCAAAUCCGGGGUACUCUAUGCUGAGAUCUGAUAGCAAGCUGUACUUGUACAGCGAAGUGGUUGAUGCCAUGCUUCCAGGAAAAGUCUCUAAGCUUCAGUUACACAGGAAUCGUACCCGAAACCGACACAGGUGGUCAGGUCGAGUAGACCAAGGCGCUUGAGAGAACUCUGCUGAAGGAACUAGGCAAAAUGGUACCGUAACUUCGGGAGAAGGUACGCUGUUGUUGGUGAUGGAACUCGCUUCCUGAGCUGACGACAGCCGCAGAAACCAGGCCGCUGCAACUGUUUAUUAAAAACAUAGCACUCUGCAAACACGAAAGUGGACGUAUAGGGUGUGAUGCCUGCCCGGUGCUGGAAGGUUAAUUGAUGGGGUUAGCGUAAGCGAAGCUCUUGAUCGAAGCCCCAGUAAACGGCGGCCGUAACUAUAACGGUCCUAAGGUAGCGAAAUUCCUUGUCGGGUAAGUUCCGACCUGCACGAAUGGCAUAAUGAUGGCGGCGCUGUCUCCAGCAGAGGCUCAGUGAAAUCGAAAUCGCUGUGAAGAUGCAGUGUACCCGCGGCUAGACGGAAAGACCCCGUGAACCUUUACUGCAGCUUGACACUGAACUUUGACCUUACUUGUGUAGGAUAGGUGGGAGGCUUUGAAGCUGGAACGCUAGUUCCAGUGGAGCCGUCCUUGAAAUACCACCCUGGUAAUGUUGAGGUUCUAACUCUGUCCCGUGAUCCGGGACGAGGACCGUGUCUGGUGGGUAGUUUGACUGGGGCGGUCUCCUCCUAAAGAGUAACGGAGGAGUACGAAGGUGCGCUCAGCGUGGUCGGAAAUCACGCGUAGAGUAUAAAGGCAAAAGCGCGCUUAACUGCGAGACCCACAAGUCGAGCAGGUACGAAAGUAGGUCUUAGUGAUCCGGUGGUUCUGUAUGGAAGGGCCAUCGCUCAACGGAUAAAAGGUACUCUGGGGAUAACAGGCUGAUACCGCCCAAGAGUUCAUAUCGACGGCGGUGUUUGGCACCUCGAUGUCGGCUCAUCUCAUCCUGGGGCUGAAGCAGGUCCCAAGGGUAUGGCUGUUCGCCAUUUAAAGAGGUACGCGAGCUGGGUUUAGAACGUCGUGAGACAGUUCGGUCCCUAUCUACCGUGGGCGCUGGAAAUUUGAGAGGAUCUGCUCCUAGUACGAGAGGACCAGAGUGGACGAACCUCUGGUGUACCGGUUGUGACGCCAGUCGCAUCGCCGGGUAGCUAUGUUCGGAAGGGAUAACCGCUGAAAGCAUCUAAGCGGGAAGCCUACCUCAAGAUAAGAUUUCCCUAGGACUUUAUGUCCUCUAAAGAGCCGUUCGAGACUAGGACGUUGAUAGGUUGGAUGUGGAAGCAUAGUGAUAUGUGAAGCUGACCAAUACUAAUUGCUCGUGAGGCUUGACUAUACAACACCCAAGCAGUUG